rnacentral:rRNA from 2 species
UUUAUUGGAGAGUUUGAUCCUGGCUCAGGAUGAACGCUGGCGGCGUGCCUAAUACAUGCAAGUCGAGCGAAUGGAUUAAGAGCUUGCUCUUAUGAAGUUAGCGGCGGACGGGUGAGUAACACGUGGGUAACCUGCCCAUAAGACUGGGAUAACUCCGGGAAACCGGGGCUAAUACCGGAUAAUAUUUUGAACUGCAUGGUUCGAAAUUGAAAGGCGGCUU